rnacentral:tmRNA from 1 species
GGGGGCGAAAUAGGAUCGACGAGGGCGUAAAGGUAGAGCUUUCGCUCGGCAUGGUUCCGCCGUUAUCGGGCCUUUGCAAUAGUUGCCAACGACAACUUUGCUCCGGUGGCUGUCGCCGCGUAAGCGGUGCCAAAAACCGACCUAAAGUCCUAGCGGGUAGCACCGCAUAGGCGGGGUUCGGAGGUACCUGGCAACAGAAACCUCCACU